GAUGAUAGUGUUGAUUUAUAGUGAUCAUAUAGCAUGUAAAGGACUGAAAUCACAUAAUAAGAGAAUAGGGACAGUCUGUGGGUGCAGAGGCAAGCCUGGACAUGUCUCGAGGAUGGAAAUUCAGAAACUAAGCCAGGGGCUUAAGAUAAACAAGUAAAGCAGAAGUGGACAGGGCGAUGACCGAAUAUGGGAAGGCAUGGGACCUUCCAUGAGGUAAUCAAAUGCUUGAGAAGUCGCGUACACCGUUUCCCCAUACACAACAGCUAGGGGAAAGAGUAUAAAUAAACAGAGAAGCAGAGAACAGUUGUUCUUCGUCUCCAGUGGAUCGAGCUGGCAGCAGCAGGCCAAUGGACCAACAAGAAGCCGCGCCCUGGAAUCGGAGGAAAGUCAAGCCGUCACACCACUGAAAGAGAGACAGGACCCGAUGUCCAACAGCUCUGGCUCCUGAUUUGAUUGUGGCUUCACACUCAAAAGAUCUCAAGAAUCGCUGCAACGGACUUGGCAAUUGGACAAAGGUCACAAAAGUGAUGAAGAUUGGGAUGUUUGGAAGACAACAACCAACUUUGCUUUGUUCCUAUUUGAAGGAGGAUUUAAGACAAGAUUCUGUCCAAGGAUAUUCUGUUGCUGAGAUCCUCCAUCAUCUGGAAUGAAGCCGGAGUACCCAGAGAGAACCCACACACGCACAGGGAGAACAUGCAAACUCUCUGCAGAAAGACCCCUGGCCAGGAAUCGAACCCAGGACCAUCUUGCUCCAAGGCAACAGUGCUACCAACUGCACCACUGUGCAGUCCUCUGCAUUACUAUUUUUUAAAUUUUCUCAAUUAAUUUAAUCUUAUUUCCUCUAUGCAUCUUGGGGAGUAACCUCCGUUUCUAUGCGCGUUAUCAGCACCAGUGACAGCACGCCUUGACAGAAACGCAAACGAUGGAGGGAGGAGAGAGAUGCAUUUUGUUUCUGUAAAAACAGAAACUAUUUUGAGGUUAUGUCUGCAAAAGAUGACAAUAUGGAGGUUCAAUGUAUCCUCUGAACUGGCAAGAAAGUUCUGUCUCUCUUGAAAAAUAGCACGUCAUGAAGAAACUAGAAUCACACCACAGGACAAUCAAACUGAACGAGCAAGCUGCACCAGGUGAUUCAAAGAAGAGAGCUGUAACAGGAGAAGGGCCGACCCAAACCUCCAGAGGGCCCUAAGAAAAAUUUGGUUUUGAGGCCCUCUGUUUUUGCUAAUAAUGUGGAUGGCUGCAAUCAACAGUCAGACAAUUAGAUCUUUCACACACCUGCGAUAAACUUAUUGUGUCUCUGACAGUGCUGAUUAUAAUGUGUAUUAUCGAUCAUGUAGUGGUAGUAAACACAGCAACCACCCAAAAUUCCAUGCAUUUGACUUAAGAUGGAAUAUAUAUCUAUGAUAUACUUGGAUUAAAUAAAUUUCUCAAUCCCAA